AUACGGAGGGUGCAAACGUUAAUCGGAAUUACUGGGCGUAAAGCGCGCGUAGGCGGUUUAGUAAGUCGGAUGUGAAAGCCCUGGGCUCAACCUGGGAACUGCAUUCGAUACUGGCAGGCUAGAGUAUAGUAGAGGCAAGUGGAAUUCCGGGUGUAGCGGUGAAAUGCGUAGAUAUCCGGAGGAACAUCAGUGGCGAAGGCGACUUGCUGGACUAAUACUGACGCUGAGGAGCGAAAGCGUGGGGAGCGAACGGGAUUAGAAACCCCAGUAGUCC
rnacentral:rRNA from 1 species